rnacentral:ncRNA from 1 species
AAAGGUUUGGUCCUGACUUUUCUAUCGGCUCUAGCCAGACUUACACAUGCAAGUAUCCGCAUUCCCGUGAAAAUGCCCAUAGUCCCCUGCCCGAGGAUAUGGAGCUGGUAUCAGGCACAAUCCCUUUAGCCCACGACGCCUUGCUAAGCCACACCCCCAAGGGAAUCCAGCAGUGAUAGACAUUAAGCCAUGAGUGAAAACUUGACUUAGUUAAGGCUACAUAGGGCCGGUAAAUCUCGUGCCAGCCACCGCGGUUAUACGAGCAGGCCCAAGUUGAUAGACCACGGCGUAAAGAGUGGUUAAGGAAUUUACUAAACUAAAGCCGAAGGCUUACAAAGCUGUUAUAGGCGCUCGAAAGUAUGAAGACCAUCCACGAAAGUAGCUUUAACCCUUCCUGACCCCACGAAAGCUGAGAAACAAACUGGGAUUAGAUACCCCACUAUGCUUAGCCCUAAAAAUUGAUUGUGGACUACGCCCCACAUCCGCCCGGGAACUACGAACAAUAGUUUAAAACCCAAAGGACUUGGCGGUGCUUUAAACCCCUCUAGAGGAGCCUGUUCUGUAACCGAUAAUCCCCGUUCAACCUCACCCUCUCUUGCAGCCGUUCCGCCUAUAUACCGCCGUCGUCAGCCUACCGUUUGAAUGACUAGCCGUGAGCAAAAUUGGAAUUAUCCCUAAACGUCAGGUCGAGGUGUAGUUUAUGAGAGGGGAAGAUAAUGGGCUACAUUCGCUAGUAAUAAGCGUACACGAAUGUCACAUUGAAACAUGUAAUUGAAGGUGGAUUUAGAAGUAAGUAGAAAAUAGAGCGUUUUACUGAAUGAGGCCCUAAAGCGCGCACACACCGCCCGUCACCCUCUCCGAUAAAUUUUUUAUCUUUUACUAAACCGCCAGUUGACCCUGAGGAGAGGAAAGUCGUAACAUGGUAAGCGUACCGGAAGGUGUGCUUGGAAAUCUAU